ensembl:lncRNA
GGCCUUGAGGCUUGUAAAGGUGGCAUCACAAACAACAACUGAUUCGUCCCAAACAACAACUGAUUCGUCCCAAACAACAACUGAUUCGUCCCAAAUAACAACUCAUUCUGGAGUGGCCCAGUCCCUAAUCUGGCUGAGCUGGGUCUGUCCAAGGAUCACCUGUGGUCAGGGGUAAUUGGUGUGUCACGAACGCCACACGCUCUCAGCACACAUACACACACACGAACGCCACACGCUCCCAGCACACACACACACACACACACAAACGCUGCACGCUAUCAGCACACACACACGAACGCCACACACUCUCAGCGCACACACACACACACAUGAACGCCACACGCUCUCAGCACACACACACACACACACACACACACACACACACGAACGCCACACGCUCUCAGCACAAUGAUGCGCAGGGAGAGUUCUGUCACGAACGCUGCACGCUCUCAGCACAAUGAUGCGCAAGGAGAGUUCUGUACUGUUCUUGGCCCUGUUUAGCGUUAAGGCCCAGGUUGUGGCUAAAACGUGCUAAUGGAGAAAACAAUGGAGUUAACUCCAGGCUGUGGCCUCCAGUGAGACUGGCCAAUCUGAAGGGCUGAGACCCAAGGGGAUGAGAACCAUAUGGCUGAGAACCAUUGGGCUGAGAACGAUAGAGUUAAGAACCAAGAGGAUGAGAACCAUAGAGCUGAGAACCAUAGAGUUAAGAACCAAGAGGAUGAGAACCAUAGAGUUAAAAACCAAGGGGAUGAGAACCAAUAGAGUUAAGAACCAAGGGGAUGAGAACUGAAGGGUUCCUAAAGAAUGAUAACGAAGUCCAGUUGCUGGGCCUAAUUUUGUGACGACGGAGCAGAGAUUAGUGUCUGUUGUUUUUAUAUCUUCACGUGUCUAAGUGUCAAAACAAUCCACAUUUCCUUUGACAGGCUGCUGAGUGUGCUGUUCAUGGUCCUGAAGCUUGAUUUCAGUGGCCGCGUGACAAGGUGUUGUGUGUGUGUGUGUG